rnacentral:rRNA from 1 species
AGAGACAGCAGUAGCCACGGAAUACAGAGGGUGCGAGCGUUAAUCGGAUUUACUGGGCGUAAAGCGUGCGUAGGCGGCUUCUUAAGUCGGAUGUGAAAUCCCUGAGCUUAACUUAGGAAUUGCAUUCGAUACUGGGAAGCUAGAGUAUGGGAGAGGAUGGUAGAAUUCCAGGUGUAGCGGUGAAAUGCGUAGAGAUCUGGAGGAAUACCGAUGGCGAAGGCAGCCAUCUGGCCUAAUACUGACGCUGAGGUACGAAAGCAUGGGGAGCAAACAGGAUUAGAUACCCGCGUAGUCCCUGUCUCUUAUACA